AGAUAUGAAAUGAAUGGUUAUUAUCAUCACACUUACUGUUUCAAUUAUUGCUCCAUAAUCUCCAAGGGAAUAUGGAUUCAGUCUAUGAUCUAUCCAAAGAUUUCCUUGCCCCACCCUCCAUCCCUAGUGCCCCACUGUGUGCAGCCAAAAGUGUUGGGCACAAUGAUAGGCUUUUCAGCCGCAAUUUUGGAAAAGAAUUAAAGAUUUGUGUAACUUUGAGAUGAAUGAUCAAAACAAUUGAUGCAGAUAUGGACGUACUGGAAU
rnacentral:misc_RNA from 1 species